rnacentral:tRNA from 1 species
GGAGAGAUGACCGAGUGGCCGAAGGUGCACGACUGGAAAUCGUGUGUGCGCUAAUACCGCACCGUGGGUUCGACUCCCACUCUCUCCGCCA